CGGCUCGGCUGUGAGCCUCGGGCCUGUUUCCGAGCGAGUCAGCGCCCCGCCGAGCUCAGAGCCGCAUUGACCUCCUCACCCACACACACACCUCCUGCUCUGCCAACACAAGAUGGCCUCCCGCCGGCCGGGCCCCGAGUCCGCGCCGCGCCAGCGGCGGGUAGAUGACCAAACAGAGAUGCCUUCUUGUGUAACUGUUCUGAUUAUUGGAGCUGGAUGCCGGGGAAAACACUACUCUUAUUUCGCUGUGCAUUUCCCCAACCGAAUGAAGGUAGUUGGAGUUGCAGAUCCUCGUGCUUUUGCUAGAAAUGAUCUUCAGAAGAUUCACAGCAUUGACAAGAAAAAUGUAUUUAAUGACUGGAAAGUAGCCGCAGAGAGAGAGAGGUUUGCGGAUGCUGUUAUAAUAGCAACACCAGACAGACUGCAUAAGGCUCCAGCAAUAGCUUUUGCUAACAAAGGCUACCACAUUCUGUUGGAAAAGCCCAUGGCAGUAACACCUGAGGACUGCAAAGAAAUUGUGUCUGUAUGUAAAGCUAACAAUGUCAUGCUUGCAGUGUGCCAUGUCCUGCGGUACUAUCCAGCCUCACUGAAGAUAAAGGAGCUACUAGAUGCUGGAGCAAUUGGAGACAUCUGCCACAUACAGCAUCUGGAGCCCGUUGGAUUCUGGCAUUUUGCCCACUCGUUUGUGAGAGGAAAUUGGAGGAAUGAAGCAGAAAGUACAUUUUCGUUGUUAGCCAAAUCCUGCCAUGACAUCGACCUCAUUAAUUUUUGGAUGGGUGAUAAAAGGUGCUUAAAGGUGUCAUCUUUUGGCAGUCUUUCUCAUUUUACUAAUGAGCAUAAGCCCAAAGGAGCUGCCAGUCGGUGCUUAGACUGUUCAGUCGAACAAACCUGUCCAUAUUCAGCCAAGAAGAUUUAUCUGCACCAUGCAGAGAAGGGUUAUUUUAAUUGGCCAGUCUCUGUUGUGUGCAAUAGUGGUGUUUGUGACAUAGAAUCUGUGACAGAGGCUCUACGCAGUGGUCCAUAUGGAAGAUGUGUUUAUGAAUGUGACAAUGAUGUUGUCAGUAACCAGGUUGUUAAUAUGGAGUUUGAAGGAGGAGCAACAGCUGCUUUUACUAUGAUGGCCUUUACGGAGCGGCUGGGUACGAGGAAAACCACAAUCUAUGGGACCAAGGGAGAACUAUUCUGUGAUGGGGGGGGACCAGUGCAAGUUUUUGACUUUUGCACAAGAGAGAAAACUGCUUAUCCAACAAACAAAUCCGCAUUCAUUCCAAGCCAUUUAAUGGGGCACGAUGAAGCUGACUACUAUCUGAUGGACAGCUUUAUUUCAGCGUUAACUAAAAAAGACUGCAAGAUAAAAUGUGAUUUAUAAAAUGGCUCUUCCUUCAAAUGUUAAAACUUUGAGUGUCAGAGGAAGCUGGAACAUCAGCUAAAGUUUGUCUUCUGAGGAUGCAAAGUUUUAAGUAAAGGAAAUGCAACACAGUCCUCGGGCCUCUGCCCUCACAUUUACUUUUGUUUUUAUUUUUUAAAACGAUAACAAUCCUAUGUAAAACCCCCUUGUGAAUUAGGGUUGCACAAGUGCAUGUCUUCACAAAAACACAAACAUUAAAAAGCACAAAACACGUAAGUUACAGGAACAUUCAUUCUCAACACAAUACCAGUCUCCAAGCAUUAGGUUACUACCACGAUGCUACUCAACCACUUCAAAAAGAAUCCUGAAAAAUUGGAGCGAGUUAAAGCUACAAGAAUGAUGUGUGGUCUGACAGCAUGUCCCGCAAAGAGAAACUUCCCCUCAGUCCAUUUUGUUCACCUCAGAGAAGGUUAAGAGGGCAUGGUAUAUGGAGAUGCUAAAAACGGCAAUUUUAAGAUUAUAGCUAUUAACUGUAGCAUUGGAAAGUCAGAGCUAAGGUGUUUUGCAGAGCGAUCAGUCAUGUGAUAUGUACAUUUGAGAAUGGGGCGAUAGCACUAGCUGAAUCGAAGGUGAGUGUGUUAGAGUAUUAUUAUCUUGGCAAGAUUAAAUAUGAUAGUAGGCCCGUGCUUGGAAACUGAUAUGUACUGGCUGUGUAUGUUGCCUUCAUUUUAAUGCUUGAGGAUUGUUUCAUUAAAUGUUUUGGAGAAACUAACUCUUAAAUAUUUUUGUUUAGUUUGCGAGCCAGUAAUUUGCGCAGAGUGUGGAUUGUUAAUUUUGAAAGCAGUUCGAGUAUUUAAAAAAAUAUACGUUUUAAGAAUUCACCCAUUUAUUUUUACCCUACAUUAAUACUUUGGGAUUUUUAAUUGAAAAGGACAGAACUGCAUUUCAAAAAGUAGUUAAAACUCACAUCACACCUGUGUUGUAUGUAGAACUUAUAUUUGUUUUACAGAAACUGUAGCAAAGAGAGGCUCAGUGGUUUCUCAUGGUUUCUCAGCAAGUUAAUGGUAGAACCAAAACCAGAACCCAGAUCUCCUGACUACCAGUCUUCACAACCCGCUAAGCCUUGCUGUCUCUAGUGUUCGAAUGGUCUGAAGCCUAAACUUUGUGACCAAUGCAUAUCCCAAGCAGCUGGGCUGGUCCCCAGGGAGUGAUUCUGGGACUGAGUGGAAAAAAUCCUUUCCCCCCAUGCCACACUGUGGCAGUAGAGCUGCUCAGCUGCCUCGUCGCUACUUUUGCUGACAUCAUGUGGGAGGAAAAGCCACUGGAUUCAUAGCUAUUAAGACUGGAUAGAUACAGAUAUGGAUACCUAAUAGCUUUCUUUGACAAGGUAACAAGCCUUGUGGACAGAGGGGAAGCGGAGAAUAAACCAUCCCUCAUUCAGACUGGUCCAGAAGCAACACUGCAGUCCCACCUCCUUGUAUUUGAGGCCGAGAAAUCCAGAAAAG